rnacentral:rRNA from 1 species
GACGAACGCUGGCGGCGUGCUUAACACAUGCGAGUCGUACGGUAAGGCCCUUUCGGGGGUCCACGAGUGGCGAACGGGUGAGUAACACGUGAGUAACCUGCCCACAACUUUGGGAUAACGCUAGGAAACUGGUGCUAAUACUGGAUAUGUGCUCCUGCUGCAUGGUGGGGGUUGGAAAGCUCCGGCGGUUGUGGAUGGACUCGCGGCCUAUCAGCUUGUUGGUGGGGUAGUGGCCUACCAAGGCGGCGACGGGUAGCCGGCCUGAGAGGGUGACCGGCCACAGUGGGACUGAGAUACGGCCCAGACGCCGACGGGAGGCAGCAGUGGGGAAUAUUGCACAAUGGGCGCAAGCCGGAUGCAGCAACGCCGCGGGCGGGAUGACGGCCUUCGGGUUGUAAACCGCGUUCAGCAGGGACGAAGCUUUUUGUGACGGUACCUGCAGAAGAAGCACCGGCUAACUACGUG